rnacentral:rRNA from 1 species
AUACGGAGGGUGCAAGCGUUAAUCGGAAUUACUGGGCGUAAAGCGCUCGUAGGCGGCUUGUAAAGUCGGAUGUGAAAGCCCCGGGCUCAACCUGGGAAUGGCAUUCGAAACUGCCAGGCUAGAGCAUGAUAGAGGGAAGUGGAAUUCCGGGUGUAGCGGUGAAAUGCGUAGAUAUCCGGAGGAACACCAGUGGCGAAGGCGGCUUCCUGGACCAAUACUGACACUGAGGUGCGAAAGCGUGGGGAGCAAACAGGAUUAGAAACCCGAGUAGUCC